rnacentral:sRNA from 1 species
GCUGGGCGUGGUGGUGUAUGCCUGUAAUCUCAGCGGCUCAGGAGGCUGAGGCAGGAGGAUUGCAAGUUCAAAGCGAGGCCCUAAGUAACUAAGCAAGACCCUGUCUCAA